UACGGAGGGUGCGAGCGUUAUCCGGAUUUAUUGGGUUUAAAGGGUGCGCAGGUGGGCUUGUAAGUCAGUGGUGAAAUACUGCCGCUUAACGGUAGAACUGCCAUUGAUACUGCGAGUCUUGAGUAUGGUUGAGGUAGGCGGAAUGUGUUGUGUAGCGGUGAAAUGCAUAGAUAUGACACAGAACGCCGAUUGCGAAGGCAGCUUACUAAGCCAUUACUGACGCUGAGGCACGAAAGCGUGGGGAGCGAACAGG
rnacentral:rRNA from 1 species